AGGUGCGAUCAUAACAGCACUAAUGCACCGGAUCCCUUCAGAACUCUGCAGUGAAGCGUGCUUGGGCGAGAGUAGUACUAGGAUGGGUGACCUCCUCGGAAGUCCUCGUGUUGCACCUCUUUUUUUCACGGGAGUUAGCAUUAACGGACUCG